UUGGAUCCAAGUAGGUGCAUGUCGUACAGACCAUGAGAGGGUUCCGACAUGCUAGUCGUACAGAUCACUAGAGGUGGUUCCGACUAGUAGGUGACCUUAGAUUAUGUGCACAGAUGAUUGAUGAGGGAAGCACUAGAGCGUAUUAUUACACCAUUCUUGUUGUACAUACUACUUCAGGUAGUUCCGACUUAUGUGCAGAGUAGUGCCGUACAGGUCACCGUGGUGACUUCGGUUGGUUUGGAUAUUGAGCUAUGGAAUUAACCGUACAGGACCAACUGCAUGGUCUCCGGUUGAUUCAUUAUGUCACCUGUUAUAUUGAUGCAUUCUUAAUCUGUUAUUGACAUUUAUGGCAUGGCAUAUUUUCUGGGUUUUGAUAAAGAAUUAUGAUUUGAGAUAUAUGAAGAUUAUAUGCAUAUUAUGUUAUUUUCUGGGAAAGUAUACAGGUUUUACAGUGAGGGGUUAGAAAUGUUUUAAAUCAAAUGAUUUUUGAAAGGCUUUAUUUUUACUGACCCACUCAAUUUUGUUUUGCGCCCCUCCAGGUUCUAGUUAGCAGCGUUGGUGGCCCACGAGGAUUUCCACGGCAUUCUGACAGACUACUCAUGUAGGACUCACCUUCGGGUGUUGUAAUUUAGUAAUGUACCUACUUGACUGCACCUUGUACUUAGGCUCUGAAUAUGUGUGUUUCACACUUUAACUUACUCUAGCACGUUACUUGGUUAUUAUUGCUAAUAUUUGGUUUUUGUUUAUUCGUAUUUCUCUUAUCUAUUGCUUCUGCGUCGCACUUUUGGUUAUGUCAUGCCUACGUGACGGCCAGCAUGCCUUGAUUCUAGGAUCGGGGUAUGUCAGUUUGGUAUCAGAGCCUAGGCUGCAGUCUUGUAUAAAUUGUUAAUGCUCUAUUGAUCUUUUGAUGUCUUAUGUUAGAACUAUGCCGCCUCGUAGGGAAUCACAUCGUGCUUCUGAGCCUAAUUUCCCUGAUAUAACUCAAUUAGGGGAGGCGAUGGCCCAUGCCUUUCAGAAUGCAAUCCGUCCUCCUCCUCCUCAGAGGACACCCCUAGAGACUAUGUAUAAUCUGAAAUUGGACUGUUUCAUGGGUAAUGAUGGUCAUGAAGGGGCAGAAAAGUGGCUAGACCAUAUUGAGAAGGCUUUUCAGGUGAUGCAGAGUCAAGGGAAUCUUCCUUCUAAUAGAUAGGUUGAGACCACUACUUGGUUUUUGGGGCGAGAGCCAGCAGCUUGGUGGGUAAAUCAGACUCAGUUUAUGUCACCUGAGAUGGCAGCUGAUUGGGAAGUAUUCAAAGAGAAUUUUAAGAAAAGAUUUGUCCCUCCGGAGUACAUUGAUCGUAAGAAGCAGAAGUUCACUCAAUUGAAGGAAAAGAAUAUGUUGGCACAUGAGUAUUACAAGAAGUUUAUAGACUUGUCUCGUUAUGACCCUAAUACAGCUGGUAAUCAGGCAAAGAUGCUUCGCCGUUUUAAGCUGAGAACUAAGAGGAAAUGGCGGACUUUUGCUAGUGCGCUUCCUUGCACCACUUAUCAUGAGUUUUCUGAGAUUUUGGUUCGAAUGGAGGAUUCCGACAACCUUCCUAGUAACAGUGAGGAUGAUGAAGAUAAGAAUGAUAAUCAGAAGAAAGAUGAUAGGGGUAAAGGAAUCUCCACUCAGGGACCCCGUAAGACACAAAAUUUCAAGAAAAGUGAAGCGAGCUCGAGUUCUUCCAGUGGAGGAUUUAGUGUCACAGGCCCGAGGAAAGGUGGAAGAUUUGCUGGUGGACCCAGGUUUCAGAGACAGAGAGAUUUUGGUGGUGCUGGUGGUUCUGGUGCUCCGUUGUGCCGCCACUGUAAUUUCAGACAUCAUGUAAAGUGUAGGAGAAGUGGUGGUGCUUGCUACACUUGUGGACAGAUGGGACAUAGGGCUGCUCAGUAUCCCCAGAGUCAGCAGAGAUCUCAGCAGCCUGCUAUGCCACCUCCAGCGCUGAUUCAGCAGAACUUUGGAUCAGGCAGUUAUGGUCAGACGGGUCGUGGUGGUGCUUACCACUAUCAGGGUGAUGCUGCUCCCUAUGCUUCCGGACAGUAUCAGUAUUCUCAAGAUCGUUAUUCUCAGACUGGGUAUUCCCAAGACCCUGGGGGUUAUACUUUUUAUUCUUCCAUGCCAACUAGCGGGUCUCAGUCGCAUCAAGUAGGUCAGCCCCGACAAAGAGAGGUUGCUGCUAGUAGUGCAGGACCAUCUAAGUAGUCUAAUCAGCCGGGACAUGGACGUACUUCUCAGGGACGAGGUAACCAAGGUAACAAAGGUCGUGGUGGAUGACAGCAAGUUCAGGGACGUGUUAAUCACAUUUCACUGCAAGAUGCUCAAAAUCAUCCAUAUUUGAUUAUGGGUACGUUAAAUAUUCUUGGUCAUUUUGCUAGAGUUUUGAUUGAUUGUGGUGCUACACAUUCCGUGAUUUCUCAUAUGUUUGCUCAAAUGACUCAACCUCACCCUUCACCUCUAGGAUUUGAUUUAGAGUUUGCUAUGCCUAGAGGGGACAAAUGUUAUGUCGAUAGUGUUUAUCCAGGAAGUCCAGUGAUGGUAGAUGGUGUAGUUAUGCCAGCUAAUCUUAUCCCGUUAGAUAUUGUGGAUUUUGAUGUGAUUUUAGGGGCAGAUUGGUUGCAUUAUCAUCGUGCCCAUAUAGAUUGUUACGGGAAAUCAGUUACUUUUCAUCAUCCUGGACUACCAGCGAUUACUUUUAUGGGUGAAAGAGGUGGGGUGAGACAUGGUGUUAUUUCUGCCAUAAGAGCAAGUAAGUUAUUAUUGAAAGGUUGUCAAGGAUACUUAGCACAUGUGGUGUUAAAUGAUGUUGUUCCUAGCAAUGUGGAGGAAGUUGGAGUAGUCAGGCACUAUCCUGAUGUAUUCCCAGAUGAUUUGCCGGGAUUACCGCCAGAUAGAGAUGUGGAGUUUUCUAUUGAUUUGCUUCCAGGUACGGAUCCUAUAUUUUUAACUCCAUAUAGAAUGGCUCUAGCUGAACUAAGAGAGUUGAAAAUUCAGUUAUAGGAAUUAACUGAUAAAGGUUUCAUUCAACCUAGUACUUCACCUUGGGGAGCACCGGUGUUAUUUGUAAGAAAGAAAGAUGGAACUUUGAGAUUAUGUAUUGAUUACAGGCAAUUGAAUCGAGUGAUGAUUAAAAACCGUUUUCCAUUGCCUCGUAUCGAUGAUUUAUUUGAUCAGCUUAAAGCUGCGUGUGUGUUCUUUAAGAUUGAUUUGAGAUCUGGCUAUUAUCAGUUGAAGAUUAAAAAUGAUGAUGUACCUAAGACAGCUUUCAGGACCUGUUAUGGACAUUAUGAAUUUUUGGUGAUGCCAUUUGGAUUGACUAAUGCACCUGCAACUUUCAUGAGGCUAAUGAAUGAAGUAUUCCAGUAAUAUCUUGAUAGAUUUGUCAUUAUUUUUAUCGAUGAUAUUCUGGUAUACUCUAAGUCGAAAGCAGAUCAUAUUCGACAUCUUAACUUGGUAUUAAAGAAAUUAAGGGAGCAUCAAUUGUAUGCCAAGUUUAGCAAAUGUCACUUUUGGUUGAAUGAAGUGGCAUUUUUGGUGCAUGUAGUAUCGGCACAAGGAAUUCAAGUAGAUCCUCAAAAGAUAGCAGCAGUGGAGAAUUGGGGACAACCAUGAACCGUCACUGAAGUGCGGAGUUUUCUUGGUCAAGCAGGUUAUUAUCGACGGUUUGUUCAAGAUUUUUCUAUGAUUGCUUUGCCACUAACGAAAUUAACCAGGAAGGAUGUUAAGUUCGAGUGGGACGAGAAUUGUGAGCAAAGUUUCCAGCAGCUGAAAUAUUGCCUCACUCAUGCUCCAAUAUUGGUACUUCCUGAUGAUAGCGGUAACUUUGAGAUUUACAGUGAUGCUUCUUUGAAUGGUUUGGGAUGUGUUUUAAUGCAGCAUAAUAGAGUGAUUGCCUAUGCUUCUCGACAGUUGAAGACUCAUGAAAGGAAUUAUCCUACUCACGAUCUUGAGUUGGCAGCCAUUGUCUUUGCUUUGAAAAUUUGGAGGCAUUAUCUCUAUGGUGAGAAGUGUAAAAUCUUCACAGAUCAUAAGAGUCUUCAGUAUGUUUUUACUCAGCAUGAUCUUAAUCUUCGUCAGCGAAGGUGGAUGGAGUUAAUAAACGAUUAUGACUGCACUAUUGAGUAUCAUCUGGGUCGUGCAAAUGUGGUAGCUGAUGCACUGAGUAGGAAACCUCAAGGUCAACUCAAUGCUUUGUAUGCUUGCCGUGUUCUUCUUCUUGCAGAAUUGAGAGCUACUGGAAUAAAGUUGGAGUUCAAAGAUCGAAGAGAAGCUUUUCUUGCUAGUUUCCAAGUCAGGCCAGUUUUGGUUGAUCGUGUACUUGAAGCUCAGAUGGUUGAUGAACAAAUUCAAGAAAUGAUUCAAUUGAGAAGAGAAGGGAAAAAAAAGAUCUCAGGAUUCGAGAAUUAGAUGGCAUGCUUAUGCAAGAGAACAGAAUGUAUGUGCCGAAUAAUGAGGAAUUGAAGAAAGAAAUUUUGGAUGAAGCACAUUGUUCGGCUUAUGCGAUGCAUCCAGGAGGAACUAAGAUGUACCAUACCAUUCGACCAUUUUAUUAUUGGCCGGGUAUGAAAAGGGAAAUUGCAGAAUAUGUAAGUAGGUGUAUUGUUUGCCAGCAAGUCAAAGCAGAAAGAAAGAAGCCUUUUGGGCGGAUGCAACCACUUCCCGUUCUUCAGUGGAAAUGGGAAAAUAUAACAAUGGAUUUUGUGUAUAAGCUUCCUCGUACACAUAAUGGAUUUGAUGGUGUUUGGGUGAUUGUAGAUCGACUUACCAAGUUAGCACACUUCAUUCCCAUGAGGGAAAAGUAUCCCCUGAAUAAAUUGGCUAAGUUGUUCAUCACGAAGAUUGUGAAGUAUCAUGGAGUUCCAAUGAAUGUUAUUCUGAUCGAGAUCCAAGAUUUACUUCUAAGUUUUGGGUAGCUUUUCAGGAAGCUCUUGGUACGAAACUGCUUUACAGCACUGCUUAUCAUCCUCAAACUGAUGGACAAUCAGAGAGGACUAUGCAGACGUUGGAGGAUAUGUUGAGAUCUUCAGUGUUACAAUUUGGUGAUUCUUGGCAUGAUCGCCUAGACUUGAUGGAAUUUGCCUACAAUAAUAGUUUUCAUUCGAGCAUUGGUAUGUCACAAUUUGAGGCACUUUAUGGUAGAGCUUGUCGUACGUCAUUGUGUUGGUCAGAGGUUGGCGAAAGAGUGUUAGAAGGCCCAGAGAUUGUGGAUGAGACUACUCAAAAUGUUCAGGUGAUUAAGUCUAACCUGAAAGCGGCCCAGGAUCGACAAAAGAGUUUAGCAGAUAGACAUG
rnacentral:lncRNA from 1 species